GUCAAACUUACAGAUGCAGAGGAAGAAAAAUCAAUUAAUGGCAUAAAAUUAAACAAUAUAUAACACUAGUUACAUUAUUUGAUCGGUCAGACAUACAUAUAAGCAAAACAAAAUUACUACUUAAAUUUCAUAACACUCAAGCAUUAGUGGAAACAGUUCAAGAGACACUCUCAGCGAAUAAAAGAUGUGAGAAAAAUUGCAUCAUUAUAAUGAAAAAUGAGGCUUCAAGUUCUUUUUUUUGGAAAGAAAUGAAAAGGGCCUUAAAGUUUAUAA
rnacentral:misc_RNA from 1 species